rnacentral:SRP_RNA from 1 species
GCCAGGCGUGGUGGCUCACGCCUGUAAUCCCAGCACUUUGGGAGGCCGAGGCGGGUGGAUCACUUGAGGUCAGGAGUUUGAGACCAGCCUGGCCAACAUGGUGAAACCCCGUCUCUA